rnacentral:rRNA from 1 species
CGGUGUUUAACUGGCGUGAUGUGGGACGUCCUACCGGUGGGCUUAGCCUCGCGAGGGGCGGCCCAACUAAUAUCCCGUCGCGGUGCUCUUUACUGAGUGUCGAGUCGGGCCGGUACGCUUACUUUGAACAAAUUAGAGUGCUUAAAGCAGGCUAUCCUCGCCUGAAUACUGCGUGCAUGGAAUAAUGGAAUAGGACCUCGGUUCUAUUUUGUUGGUUUUCGGAACCCCGAGGUAAUGAUUAAUAGGGACAGAUGGGGGCAUUCGUAUUGCGACGUUAGAGGUGAAAUUCUUGGAUCGUCGCAAGACGGACAGAAGCGAAAGCAUUUGCCAAAAAUGUUUUCAUUAAUCAAGAACGAAAGUUAGAGGUUCGAAGGCGAUCAGAUACCGCCCUAGUUCUAACCAUAAACGAUGCCAGCUAGCGAUCCGCCGAAGUUCCUCCGAUGACUCGGCGGGCAGCUUCCGGGAAACCAAAGCUUUUGGGUUCCGGGGGAAGUAUGGUUGCAAAGCUGAAACUUAAAGGAAUUGACGGAAGGGCACCACCAGGAGUGGAGCCUGCGGCUUAAUUUGACUCAACACGGGAAACCUCACCAGGCCCAGACACCGGAAGGAUUGACAGAUUGAUAGCUCUUUCUUGAUUCGGUGGGUGGUGGUGCAUGGCCGUUCUUAGUUGGUGGAGCGAUUUGUCUGGUUAAUUCCGAUAACGAACGAGACUCUAGCCUGCUAAAUAGGCGUACCUUAUGGUAUCGCGAAGGCCCCCGGCUUCGGCCGGUGGGUUUUUACUACCAACGUACAAACAAAUCUUUUUAGAGGGACAGGCGG